UGCCAGCCGCCGCGGUAAUAUGGAGGGGGUUAGCGUUGUUCGGAAUUACUGGGCGUAAAGCGCACGUAGGCGGAUUAGUAAGUUAGAGGUGAAAUCCCAGGGCUCAACCCUGGAACUGCCUUUAAUACUGCUAGUCUUGAGUUCGAGAGAGGUAAGUGGAAUUCCGAGUGUAGAGGUGAAAUGCGUAGAUAUUCGGAGGAACACCAAUUGCGAAGGCAGUUCACUGGACCGUGAUCGACGCUGAGGAGGGAAAGCUAGGGGAGCAAACAGGAUUAGAUA
rnacentral:rRNA from 1 species